CUUUCAUUAACGUUUGUCGAAAGCAGUCAGCCAUACCCUGGUACAAGUUUGGAAAUGUUUGCAUCUUCACUUUAAUGGUGUCUAGGGGCUGACCAACGUACACCAGUCCCACACCACCUGAAAUUACAGGGUGAUCACCCUGAUGAUGGAGGCUGCAAGGACCUCUGAAAUGGUAAUCUACUAGACUACUUGGCGCAACAACCCAAAAGACAGCCUUGUUUGUGUGUGUGUGUGUAUAUAUAUAUCACUAUUGAAUUGGUAUGCUGUUACUUAAUUUGACUGUAUUCAAUUAGGUCUAACAGUCUUCUUUAUAUUAUUGUAGUAAUGACUAAACAUGUAUAUGUACAUACUCCACAUGAAGAAUAACCUAACAAGUUGAAACAUAUAGUGGAAGAUUAGAAUAAAUAUAUUUUAGAAUUG